UACGAAGGGUGCAAGCGUUGCUCGGAAUUAUUGGGCGUAAAGGGUAGGUAGGUGGUAAUAAAAGUCUGGGGUGAAAUCCCUGAGCUCAACUCAGGACGUGCCUUGGAAACUAUAUUGCUAGAGUGCUGGAGAGGUUCGCAGAAUUCCCGGUGUAGCGGUGAAAUGCGCAGAUAUCGGGAGGAACACCAAUGGCGAAGGCAGCUCGCUGGGACGUGACUGACGCUGAGACGCGAAAGCGUGGGGAGCAAACAGG
rnacentral:rRNA from 1 species